AUUCCAGCUCCAAUAGCGUAUACUAAUGUUGCUGCAGUUAAAAAGCUCGUAGUCGAAUUUCUGACCUGUCAAGCUCAAACCGUCUCUAUUACGGGACGUGCUUUGAACCGCUUGCGGGUCAUCAUUCUGGAGAGUGUUUCUGUCCUUCACUGGAUGGUUGCACGACUCAGAUCAUUUACUGUGAACAAAGGAAAGUGUUCAAAGCAGGCUCUUGAUGCCUGAAUCUUUUAGCAUGGAAUAAUAAUAUAUAACUCUGGUUGUAUUUUGUUGGCUUCUAUAACCAAAGUAAUGAUUAAUAGGGAUAGUUGGGGGUGCUCAUAUUCAGUGGGUAGCGGUGAAAUGCGAUGAUCCACUGAAGAUGAACUAAUGCGAAAGCAUUCACCAAGGAUAUCUUCAUUG
rnacentral:rRNA from 1 species